rnacentral:rRNA from 1 species
UACGUAGGGGGCAAGCGUUGUCCGGAUUUAUUGGGCGUAAAGAGCGUGUAGGCGGUUAUACAGGUCCGCUGUGAAAACUGGAGGCUUAACCUCCCAGACGUCGGUGGAAACCGUAUGACUAGAGUCCGGAAGAGGAGAGUGGAAUUCCGUGGUGUAGCGGUGAAAUGCGCAGAUAUCAGGAAGAACACCCGUGGCGAAGGCGGCUCUCUGGGACGGUACUGACGCUGAGACGCGAAAGCGUGGGGGAGCGAACAGG